rnacentral:rRNA from 1 species
UACGGAGGGUGCAAGCGUUCUUCGGAAUCAUUGGGCGUAAAGCGCGUGUAGGCGGCUUGGCAAGUCGGGUGUGAAAUCCCGGGGCCCAACCCCGGAACUGCAUUCGAAACUGCCUCGCUAGAGUCCCGGAGAGGAAGGCGGAAUUCCCGGUGUAGAGGUGAAAUUCGUAGAUAUCGGGAGGAACACCAGCGGCGAAGGCGGCCUUCUGGACGGUGACUGACGUUCAGACGCGAAAGCGUGGGGAGCAAACAGG